AAAGAGGCAAUGUCGAUUGCUACAACAAUGUAGGAAGGGAUGCGGUCACCCGGCGAGUUCGUCAUUGGCUCCAUCAAAAGAUGCACCACCUAUGGCUACGUAAUAUCUGGGUCAAUUCUCUUAACUUAUUCCCCUUCAAUUCACUAACGCUAUGUAUUUUUUACAAGCACCAUCGCACUAUAGAUCAUUGCCGCACGUGGCUGGUUCUUCUGUUCUAGUAGGUUCAUAUUUCGAGGCACAGAUGCCCCCCGCAUACUACCCC
rnacentral:lncRNA from 1 species